rnacentral:rRNA from 1 species
AUACGGAGGGAGCGAGCGUUAAUCGGAAUUACUGGGCGUAAAGCGCGCGUCGGCGGCUUUGUAAGUCGGAUGUGAAAGCCCAGGGCUCAACCCUGGAAUUGCAUUCGAUACUGCAUGGCUAGAGUAUGGUAGAGGGAAGUGGAAUUUCCGGUGUAGCGGUGAAAUGCGUAGAUAUCGGAAGGAACACCAGUGGCGAAGGCGACUUCCUGGGCCAAUACUGACGCUGAGGUGCGAAAGCGUGGGGAGCAAACAGGAUUAGAAACCCCUGUAGUCC